GAUGAACGCUGGCGGCGUGCCUAAUACAUGCAAGUCGAGCGAACAGACGAGGAGCUUGCUCCUCUGACGUUAGCGGCGGACGGGUGAGUAACACGUGGAUAACCUACCUAUAAGACUGGGAUAACUUCGGGAAACCGGAGCUAAUACCGGAUAAUAUAUUGAACCGCAUGGUUCAAUAGUGAAAGACGGUUUUGCUGUCACUUAUAGAUGGAUCCGCGCCGCAUUAGCUAGUUGGUAAGGUAACGGCUUACCAAGGCAACGAUGCGUAGCCGACCUGAGAGGGUGAUCGGCCACACUGGAACUGAGACACGGUCCAGACUCCUACGGGAGGCGGCAGUAGGGAAUCUUCCGCAAUGGGCGAAAGCCUGACGGAGCAACGCCGCGUGAGUGAUGAAGGUCUUCGGAUCGUAAAACUCUGUUAUUAGGGAAGAACAAAUGUGUAAGUAACUAUGCACGUCUUGACGGUACCUAAUCAGAAAGCCACGGCUAACUAUGUG
rnacentral:rRNA from 1 species